AACGCGAAGGACCUUACCAGGUCUUGACAUCCCUUGCUAAUCCUAGAAAUAGGACGUUCCCUUCGGGGACAAGGUGACAGGUGGUGCAUGGUUGUCGUCAGCUCGUGUCGUGAGAUGUUGGGUUAAGUCCCGCAACGAGCGCAACCCUUAUUAUUAGUUGCCAGCAUUCAGUUGGGCACUCUAGUGAGACUGCCGGUGACAAACCGGAGGAAGGUGGGGAUGACGUCAAAUCAUCAUGCCCCUUAUGACCUGGGCUACACACGUGCUACAAUGGCAUAUACAACGAGUCGCCAACCCGCGAGGGUGCGCUAAUCUCUUAAAGUAUGUCUCAGUUCGGAUUGUAGGCUGCAACUCGCCUACAUGAAGUCGGAAUCGCUAGUAAUCGCGGAUCAGCACGCCGCGGUGAAUACGUUCCCGGGUCUGUACACACCGAAUAA
rnacentral:rRNA from 1 species